UCUGUGUCCUGUCUGAAUGCUUAACUUCAUGUUAGCUACCAUGUGUUAAAACAGGAUGCAUUUUCCCUGGAGUAGGAAAUCGAUGGACUCUGGACAGGCAGUGGACUGCUGCAUUCAUAGGUCAGAGGCAAAAAUUCUCAGAAUAUACUGUCAUGAACUAUGACUCUCACAUGCUGGUGAUUGCUCCCAGUGGCUUUCAGCAGUCUGUGUCAGAACUGAGGGGGGCUGGUAGUGCUUUAGUGAAGUUCAGCCCUUCUCUGGACUCUGCUGUGGCCAUCUCAGCCAACAAUGACUUUUGUCAUCAACUCAGAAAGAAGCUGUUCUGAGGUCUCCUGGAUGACAAAUUUUGCUUGUUUGGCUAGCAUUUCAGCUGGAAGGCAAGGCUGAGCUGCUGGUCCUAUUCUCCCAUGCUAAUAGGAAUGGGAAUGCAUUGUAGUAUAUUUCCUUAGAGAUAUGGCUGUAGGCUCUGCCCUCAUAAGCUAAUACAAGCUCUGACUCCUAAUACAUUUAAUCUGUUGCCUGGA